rnacentral:rRNA from 1 species
UACAGGGGGUGCAAACGUUGCUCGGAAUCAUUGGGCGUAAAGCGCACGUAGGCGGUUCGUUAUGUCGGAUGUGAAAGCCCUUGGCUUAACCGAGGAAGUGCAUCCGAAACUGGCGAGCUAGAGUACGAAAGAGGAUCGCGGAAUUCCCGGUGUAGAGGUGAAAUUCGUAGAUAUCGGAAGGAACACCUGUGGCGAAAGCGGCUCACUGGACCAUUACUGACGCUGAGGCACGAAAGCUAGGGGAGCAAACAGG